GAUGAACGCUAGCGGCAGGCCUAACACAUGCAAGUCGAGGGAGAAGCCUUUCGGGGCAGAAACCGGCGCACGGGUGCGUAACGCGUAUGCAACCUACCUUUCACAGGGGGAUAGCCCGAAGAAAUUUGGAUUAAUACCCCAUAAUAUUGUUGGAUGGCAUCAUUUGGCAAUUAAAACUGCGGUGGUGGAAGAUGGGCAUGCGUCCUAUUAGCUAGUUGGAGUGGUAACGGCACCCCAAGGCUACGAUAGGUAGGGGUCCUGAGAGGGAGAUCCCCCACACUGGUACUGAGACAGGGACCAGACUCCUACGGGAGGCAGCAGUGAGGAAUAUUGGUCAAUGGUCGGAAGACUGAAUCAGCCAUGCCGCGUGCAGGAAGAAUGCCUUAUGGGGUUGUAAAACUGCUUUUAUAUGGGAAGAAUAAAGG
rnacentral:rRNA from 1 species